UUGGUAAUCUCCGAGCUUGGGCUCGGCGAAUUGUAAUCUGAAGAUCGCUAGUCUAAUUGGAUCAGGCGUCAAAGUGCGCACGAGCGCGCCGCCAUAGAGGGUGAGAGCCCCGUACGACGCAGGAUCCUACCAAGGCUGGUGUUCGAAGAGUCGUGUACUUUGAUACUAGUGCACUAAGCGGGAGAUAAACUUCUUCUAAGGCUAAAUAUAAGUAGGAAACCGAUAGCGAACAAGUACUGUGAAGGAAAGAUGAAAAGCACUUUGGAAAGAAAGUUAAAAGACUUGAAAUCGUUGAGGCGGACCCGGUAGAAAUGUAUUCUAGCGAAGCGCUCUGGGAAGCCUCUACGGGGGCCACUUGAGCGCUAGCCGAGACAAGAUGGAGUCGCCUGAUGCCAGAGGCUGUGUGCGAGCGUGCUUGCAUGAGCGCAUGCUAGUCGGGUGUUAGGCGGCUUGAGGGGCCUUGAGCGAUCUUGUCAAAAUGGUUUUUACCGACUCGUCUUGAAACACGAACCAAGGAGUCUAAGACUAACGCGAGUAUGGUGGUGGAGAAACCAACAUGCGAAAUGAAAGUAAAUGAUGCCAAGCUCCCUGCAGCAUCGACCGACUUUUUUCUAUUGGAAGAGGUUUGAGUAAGAGCGUUAUUCUUAGGACCC
rnacentral:rRNA from 1 species